AUACUAGGUAGCCAGUACCUUCGUAGAAGUUGACCGUUUAAGAAUUGUUUAACGUUACGCUUAUUGCACCGUUCCGUCAAUUUUUCCUCAGUUUUUUUUUUAUUUCGUCGAUUACUUGCCGAUCUUGUGCAUAAAUAUUUAUCCGUAUAUUUACACGCAAUAUAUUAUAUACCGGCACGUAUCAAGUACCUGUCUUACUAUUCUUAAUUAUAAUUUAAUUUUCAAAACGAUAUCGUGUUCAUUUUAUAUUUACGUAUUAUCAGAUGUAACGAUAAUUUAAAAAAUCGUGACAGUAUGAAUCCUAUAAAAGAAAUUCAAUGUAUAAUAAGCGCGUUUUCGAUACAUAAGUGCAUUAUUUUUUUAUCCUCAAUUAUCUUUUCACGCUUCAAUGUGUCAUUUCAAAAAUAUUGUCGUGUGUAAUAUGUAAUAUAAGAUGUAUAUACGUAUAUAUUGUACUUUCAAAUGAAACAAAAAGAAACGAACAUUUAUAACGAACAACAUUGAAGAAUUUAAUCCUAUAAAUUUAAUGUGUUGGAAUAUCAAGAAUAAAAUUUCAAAUUUGAACACAGUUUUUUAAGAUGAUUUCCAGAAUCAAUGUUUCGCAUUUUUUCUAUGCGUGGAAUAGAGACUGACGAUAUGAUAAAAUCACAGUGGCCGCUGUUAAUGGUUUCUCUACAAUUUUAUUAUAAUAAACAAGAAAAAUAUAGUGGUUUCGAUCGAAUCACUGAUUGAACAAAAUGCAAAUGUGUAUUCUUAGGAUAUAGUAUGGCUUCGGUAUUUUGGCAUGUCUCUGGGAAUAAUUUGAUUUCUGCUACUUUUAUCUUGCUCUUGCUACUUUGUCCUCACAGUAGUACAGAGUGCGAUCAAAAGUUUAUAAGCACACCUGAUGGACCACCGAAUGGAACAUUUCACGCGCCAACGUUAAUUAAUUACGACGGAGAUUCCCGACAAUGCGUAUACACAUUUUUUGCUGGACCACGACAACGUGUCGAAUUGAUAUUUAAUUCGUUCGGCCUUCGGGGAACACCUCCAGAUGGAUCUGCUGUUGGAGAAUUACCCGCUUGUGUCCACGAAUAUCUGGAUGUAUAUGCUGAAAUACGAUCGGAGAAUACCAGCAAAUUGGUGGAAACGCCUUUCGGUGGUCGUUUCUGUGGCCCGAUUCCACCUCGUAGGCGUGUUUCUCUUUACCAGGGAAUUGCUCUAAGUUUUUACACUGAUAAAAAUAUUACGUUACCUACCCUGUUCAGCGGUACUUAUGCCUUUAUCAAUUCAUCUGAAUACGAGGUGGGAACACCAGCUCCCAGCACACCAUGCUCUUUCACAGUAGAUUCGGAACAUAAACGCAAUGGUAAUAUAUUAUCUCCUACGUAUCCUGGCACAUAUCCAAAGGGUAUUAUAUGCAGUUAUCAAUUUAUCGGGAAUAAAUCGCAACGAGUGAGGCUCGAGUUCCGGGACUUUGAUUUGUUCUUCGGAGGUCAACAUUGUCCUUUGGAUUACGUAAAAGUGUACGACGGUUUAAACGAUACGUCGGCGGUUAUAGGGACUUACUGUGGUCAACAACGAAAUUUGGUGUUGUACUCGUCGGAAUCAAGUUUGUACGUGCUGUUUGUUACCCUUCAACGUACGGCCAAUACGCAAAAUCGUGGAUUCAAGGGCAUCUUUGAAUUCUCGGAGAGUUUUGUUAAAUUAGACUUCAUAACCGCUAACAAGGGUGAGCACAUACGAGGAUCGGAAUGUGAUCAGAAGAUUUUAAGUAAAAAGGAAUCGUCUGGACAAGUUGUUAGCCCAAACUUUCCAUUUCCGUACAUACCGAAGGUCGUGUGUCGGUAUUUCAUUUAUGGAAUGCAAGAUUCGCAGCAUCUCGAGCGUGUUCGAUUAGAGUUCAUAACAUUUAAUAUACCAAAGAAUAAGACGAUAGGAGAUUCAUCUUGUACCGAUGGAUAUUUAAAAUUAUACUUAAAAGGGCAAGAAGCGACGGAUUCUUAUGACAAAUUUGAUUACGAAUUGUGCGGCGUGAAGAGCAAUCCGAACCAUGUAGUUAGUGAUGGGCCGAGACUUGUGAUGGUGUUUAGCAGCGGGGAAUCUCAAGGGCAAGGUUUUAAAGCACGGUACACCUUUGAAACGGAAUACAAAAUACCGGGCACCGCUGCACCCGAUGGCAGCUGUACAUUCACAUACCGCAGUUCCUCUCGCAAAAGAGGAGAUUUUAAUUCUCCUCGACAUCCUAGUAAUUAUCCAAGCGAUACAAAUUGCACAUAUUUAUUCUUAGCGACGCCAAACGAGCAAGUUACCUUAAUAUUCGAUUAUUUUAAAGUUCGAACGAAAAAUAUGAACAUGACGGAUGGACAUUAUGGAAUGGAAAUUUGUCAAGAUGAUUGGUUGGAAAUAUAUAAUAUGUAUCGGGACAAUACGGAAAAAUUGAUAGGUAGAUACUGUGGUAACACGGCGCCAGGACCUGUCGAGUCGACUCUUGGUGCUCUCGGUUUAAGAGUAAUUCUGCAUUCGGACUCGGAACUGGUUUAUAGCGGUUUUAAAGCGCGUUACACGUUCGAAGUGGCGAAACCUAUAUUUGGAGAUUGCGGAUCGAAUAUAAGUAGUGUGAAUUAUGGUAUUAUCGCCAGUCCGAAUUUUCCAAACAAGUACGAUGGACCAGCGAGAAAUAUGGCAAGUAAAACUUGCAAUUGGUUUAUAAGAGUUCGACCGAAUCAACGAAUAUUGUUAAAUUUUGAAUCGUUCUCGGUAGAGGGUGAUCAAUCAGUUCGUGGUUGUCCAGCUGCGGUGCUGCGCAUGUGGUAUUCCGUAUCGUCCACGCCUAUCGAGUUAUGCGGCGUGAAAACGUCAGAUAAAUGGACUUAUCUUUCUGAGGAUAACAACAUGCGACUUAGCUUUAUAUUAGCCGACAAAGCGGUUGGACAACUGGGAUUUAAGGCAAUAUGGACGGAAGUAAGCACAAAUACCGACUGCCAGAAUCAAUUUUUGUGCAGCAAAAAUAAAUACUGCAUUGCAGAAUCGCUUCGAUGUAAUGAGGUUUAUAAUUGUGGCCCAGCUGAUGAUUCGGAUGAAGAAAAUUGUAAGUAAUAGGUAGCUGUGUGUAUAGGUGAAAGAAUGGAGAGAUUGCGUGGGUGAAUGACUGUGUGUGGUGUCGCAGGUGCAGCAUCAGCCCCAUUGUCACCAGCACUGGCUGGAGUCUCUGCCAUGCUUCUUCUCUCUCUGUGCUUUGUGUUCGUGGCCAUCUGAGCCCUUCAUGAAGCUUCCGACGAUCCGGCAUGUUAUGAUCUCCCCUAUCACGUAAUACAGUUGUACAGAAAAAUAAUUACGCUGUUCCUGCGGGUUAUACCAUCGGUGCUGUAUUAAUAGCAUUGAUCGUUUGUCUUUUUUGUCAUCGGAAGCU
rnacentral:misc_RNA from 1 species